UACAGAGGGGGCAAGCGUUGUUCGGAAUUACUGGGCGUAAAGGGCGCGUAGGCGGCCUGCUAAGUCGAACGUGAAAUCCCCGGGCUCAACCCGGGAACUGCGUCCGAUACUGGCAGGCUUGAAUUCGGGAGAGGGAUGCGGAGUUCCAGGUGUAGCGGUGAAAUGCGUAGAUAUCUGGAGGAACACCGGUGGCGAAGGCGGCAUCCUGGACCGAAAUUGACGCUGAGGCGCGAAAGCCAGGGGAGCAAACGGG
rnacentral:rRNA from 1 species